rnacentral:rRNA from 1 species
UACAGAGGGUGCGAGCGUUGUCCGGAAUCACUGGGCGUAAAGGGCGCGUAGGCGGAUAUUUAAGUCAGGUGUGAAAACCCAGGGCUCAACCCUGGAUCUGCAUCUGAUACUGGGUAUCUUGAGGACAGGAGAGGAAAGUGGAAUUCCUAGUGUAGCGGUGAAAUGCGUAGAUAUUAGGAGGAACACCAGUGGCGAAGGCGACUUCUGGACUGUAACUGACGCUGAGGCGCGAAAGCGUGGGGAGCAAACAGG